rnacentral:rRNA from 1 species
GCUAGUCGGCGGGGUAACGGCCCACCGAGGCGACGAUGUCUAGGGGUUCUGAGAGGAAGGUCCCCCACACUGGUACUGAGACACGGACCAGACUCCUACGGGAGGCAGCAGUGAGGAAUAUUGGUCAAUGGGCUUACGCCUGAACCAGCCAAGUCGCGUGAGGGAAGACUGCCCUAUGGGUUGUAAACCUCUUUUGUCAGGGAGCAACGCCGGCUACGUGUAGCCGGACUGAGAGUACCUGAAGAAAAAGCAUCGGCUAACUCCGUGCCAGCAGCCGCGGUAAUACGGAGGAUGCGAGCGUUAUCCGGAUUUAUUGGGUUUAAAGGGUGCGUAGGCGGAAUGCCAAGUCAGCGGUAAAAUCGCGGGGCUCAACCUCGCUCCGCCGUUGAAACUGGCGUUCUUGAGUGGGCGAGAAGUAUGCGGAAUGCGUGGUGUAGCGGUGAAAUGCAUAGAUAUCACGCAGAACUCCGAUUGCGAAGGCAGCAUACCGGCGCCCAACUGACGCUGAAGCACGAAAGCGUGGGUAUCGAACAGGAUUAGAUACCCUGGUAGUCCACGCAGUAAACGAUGAAUACUAGCUGUUCGGGGCAAUUGGGCCUUGAGUGGC